GCGGUCGUGGCGGAACUGGCAGACGCGGGGCACUCAAACUGCUCUCCCUCCGGGGGUGCGGGUUCGAUUCCCGCCGACCGCA
rnacentral:tRNA from 1 species